CUCAGGGCUAAUCUUCCUCAAAAAAACCCCAAAGAACAAAUAAUUAUUUCAAAGUAAAUUAUCACAAACAUCCUAUAGUAUAAGUUAAUUCUAAUUUUGUAUGCCAUACCACCCAAUUUCUUUUGGGUUGUGAAAGGUAUUCUCUUGUAAGAAAUAGUGUAUUAAUCUAGCUUGGCACCAAGGGAAUGGCUCACAGCGAAGUGAGGAAAUAUGUCACAAUACCACACCAGAAAGAUUAUGAAAACAAUUGUAAAAAAUGUAUUUUAUACAUCUACUACCACAAAAGAAUACUAAAAGAAAAUGGAGAUCUCAAGUUGUUCCUAACCUAUACGCCUUCAUUGAUUAUAUCCCAUCUCCUUUGCCUCCUUCACCCCUAUAUGCAGCUGAUCCAAAUUCUAGCGUCCCCUGUCCUAAAGAUCUCUGCCUUUCACUACCAUCUUUUCAUUCUUGAAUUGCUGCAGUCACUUCCAAUCUUGCACCCUUUCAAAUCCACUUGACAUGUUAGACUGAUCCACCUUUCACACAAACCUGCUAAAUCCUUCAAUGGCUUCUAAGAAUCCACAGAUCAAUAAUAAGAAUAGAUAAAAUUUAUUGAGUGCCUUAUAAGGGAAAGACACUCUUGGGCAACAUCUUCACUUAUUUAACCUUCACAGCAAAUCUGCAAGUUAAGAUUUUUCACAUUUUUACAAAACCAGGAAACAGCCUCAAAAAGACCAAAAAUCAACAUCUAACAUGAAACCUGAAGGUCUAUGUGCUUUUCCCUGUUUACUUUCUCAGCUUUUAUUCCUUUACUUGCUCCCCAAACUCCAAUUAUUGUGUUGCUUUAUGACUGCUCCUUCUACCUAAAAUUCCUUUAUUCUUAUAAUUUUCUGGCAGACUAUGCAUCCUCAAGGUUUCAUUUUAGCUCUCAUUUCUUCAGGGAUACCUCCUUGAUCCCACCCAAGCUGGUUUAGAUAUCUCUACAUUGCAUUUACCUCAUAUUAUCAGUUAUCACUCUCUGGGUUCCUUGAAGGUAAAUGCUUUGUCUUAUUCAAAUUGAUGUGGCUGUUCCCAAGCAACAUGCAAAUAAUCUGGCAUUUGUUAUCAUCAAUAAUAAUUAUCAAUUUCUGAACUACCUAAAUGUCAGACCGUGUGCCAAACACUUUUACAUACUCAAUUCACUUAAUCUUCACGAUGAUGCUGUCAGGUAGGCAUCACCAUUCUCACUUUAACAAUAGAGAAACCGACAUUCAUAAAGAACUAAUUUGCCCAAGUUCCAUAGUUAUUGAGUGGUAGAAUCAUGGAAUCCAAAUUUGCCUAACACAAAAGCUGGCGCUGAGGUUCUUUGGCAUUUCACUCUCAUUUUCCAUUGCCCAUUUCUAGCAAACUCAAAACAUCCUGUAAAUAUCGCUGUCUUCAACUACUGGAAAAUGUUAAAAUUUGAAAAUAAAAGCUGGAAUAAUGAGCUGCUAAUGCAGUGAAGAGAAAGCGGACAUUAAACCUCUGAGGUCAUCAAAUUACACAAGAGGAAAAGGAAGUGCUAGGAGAGUCAUCGACUAUUGCACUCACUAUUACACAAACCAAAAGGUCAACUCCCAGAAGGAAAGGGUGCCCAGCAAAUCACGUCCUCAAGAAAGGAGGGGGUUUGGAGAGGGAAAGGAGGCACCUCCCUGGGCUAGGAGAAAAGGUAACAAAAGUUGCUAUGGUGGUCCCGUUCCACCCAGGUGAAACAGAGACAGGAAGAAGUUAUCAGAAUUUUAGAUACUUACAAAAUAAAGUAUGAAUUAAUAGAUAUUUCUCUCAGUUUGGAAGUACUCGAAGAAAUGAAGACGAAGGUUUCCACUCCGCACUCUCUACCACCUCAGAUAUUCAAUGGCAAUGAAUAUUGUGGAGAUUUUGAAAUGUUUCAUCAGGCAAAGGAGAACAAAGAGAUUCUGAAAUUCCUGAAGAUGGAAUGAAUGAGCAGUUCAUGAUACAAAAGAUGUUUACUGACAUUGAUCUGCGUAUACAUCUAUAUUCACCAGUUACUUUUAAUUAUAACAAUAAAACUUUCAUUAAAGAUAAUUGCUACCUAGAUUAAGUUGUAAUCACUAACAUGUUUGUCUUUACUAUUUCAAUCAUGCAUUAAAAUCAUUUUUCUAUUACACUGUGAACAUUUUAUACAGCUGUGUAAAAAAAAUUAUUAAAUACUUAGCAUCAAACUUUUCUUCUCACUAAUAGUUGUCAAUUUAUAGGCAUGAAAUAUACUUUUAGUGCAAUUUUAUAUUUACUUUCAGCUUUAUUUUUUAAAUGUUUCUCAGUAUAUUUAACAAAGGCUUAGAUACUGUAAUGGAGCUGUUUAAAAAAGAGAGAGAAAAAAGCAGAUCCCUGGGCCCCGUUUUAAGUCCUCCUAAAUGGAAAUUGGAGAGGGAAUAGGCAUUUGUAUUGUUAACAAACUCCACAGGUGAUUUUUUUUUUCCUUUGUACACUAAAGUCUGGAAACCAAUACUAAAGAAUAACAACAAUUUUAGGUCACCCCUCCCUUGACCUCCACUUCUUUUUUUUUUUCCUUAAAGAUUGGCACCUGGGCUAACAACUGUU